CAAAGACUUAUAUUUCCUUCUUUUCUUUCUAGGGUUUGUAACGGUGUAAAAAAAUAAAAGAGGGCUUCUUAAAAAGAUGGUUUUCUCUUAAAUACUUGGUAAUUAAUAAAUAUUUAAAAAAAAACUAAUAACUUACGUAACUUAUUUAAAACAAUCCGAUAAAUUUUACUCACACACAAACACUCAAUAAUAACUAUCCUACUCAAUUUAAUAAGGGCAAAAGAGGAAAAAUAAAUAAAUAAAAAUUGGGCGUUACAA
rnacentral:lncRNA from 1 species